rnacentral:rRNA from 1 species
UACGUAGGCAGCGAGCGUUGUUCGGAAUUACUGGGCGUAAAGAGUGUGUAGGCGGUGCUCUAAGUUCGGUGUGAAAUCCAGCGGCCCAACCGCUGAAUUGCAUCCGAUACUGGGGAACUUGAGGACGGUAGAGGUCGGUGGAAUAUCCGGUGUACCGGUGAAAUGGACAGAUAUCGGAUGGAACACCAGUGGCGAAGGCGGCCGACUGGGCCGAUCCUGACGCUGAGACCCGAAAGCUAGGGUAGCGAACCGG